rnacentral:rRNA from 1 species
GACGAACGCUGGCGGCGUGCUUAACACAUGCAAGUUGAACGGAAAGGCCCUUCGGGGUACUCGAGUGGCGAACGGGUGAGUAACACGUGGGUGAUCUGCCCUGCACUUUGGGAUAAGCCUGGGAAACUGGGUCUAAUACCGAAUAGGACCACGGCCUUCAUGGGUUGUGGUGGAAAGCUUUUGCGGUGUGGGAUGGGCCCGCGGCCUAUCAGCGUGUUGGUGGUGUAAUGGCCUACCAAGGCGACGACGGGUAGCCGGCCUGGGAGGGUGACCGGCCACACGGGGACUGAGAUACGGCCCAGGCUCCUACGGGAGGCAGCAGUGGGGAAUAUUGCACAAUGGGCGCAAGCCUGGUGCGGCGACGCCGCGUGAGGGAGGACGGCCUUCGGGUUGUAAACCUCUUGCAGCAGGGACGAAGCGCAAGUGACGGUACCUGUAGAAGAAGGACCGGCCAACUACGUGCCAGCAGCCGCAGUAACAC